rnacentral:rRNA from 1 species
UACGUAGGGGGCUAGCGUUGUCCGGAAUCAUUGGGCGUAAAGCGCGUGUAGGCGGUCCGGUAAGUCCGCUGUGAAAGUCGAGGGCUCAACCCUCGAAUGCCGGUGGAUACUGUCGGGCUUGAGUACGGGAGAGGCGAGUGGAAUUCCUGGUGUAGCGGUGAAAUGCGCAGAUAUCAGGAGGAACACCGAUUGCGAAGGCAGCUCGCUGGAACGUUACUGACUCUGAGGCACGAAAGCGUGGGGAUCAAACAGG